GAUGAACGCUGGCGGCGUGCUUAACACAUGCAAGUCGAACGGAAAGGCCCAAGCUUGCUUGGGUACUCGAGUGGCGAACGGGUGAGUAACACGUGGGUGAUCUGCCCUGCACUUCGGGAUAAGCCUGGGAAACUGGGUCUAAUACCGGAUAGGACGAUGGUUUGGAUGCCGUUGUGGAAAGUUUUUUCGGUGUGGGAUGAGCUCGCGGCCUAUCAGCUUGUUGGUGGGGUAAUGGCCUACCAAGGCGUCGACGGGUAGCCGGCCUGAGAGGGUGUACGGCCACAGUGGGACUGAGAUACGGCCCAGACUCCUACGGGAGGCAGCAGUGGGGAAUAUUGCACAAUGGGCGCAAGCCUGAUGCAGCGACGCCGCGUGGGGGAUGACGGCCUUCGGGUUGUAAACUCCUUUCGCUAGGGACGAAGCGUUUUGUGACGGUACCUGGAGAAGAAGCACCGGCUAACUACGUG
rnacentral:rRNA from 1 species